AGCAUAAUUGCUGGAUCAUAUGGUAAGAAUGUGUUUAGUUCUGUAAGAAAUUGCCAAACUGUCUUCCAAAGUGACUGUACUAUUUUGCAUUUCUACCAGCAAU
rnacentral:pre_miRNA from 1 species